AAGCAUGAUACAUGCUCGAUCACAUGCUUUAAUGAAUUGAGACACUUCUAAAUUAGUACCGUCAAAAGUGGGAAUAUAUGCGAGGGCAUCUUUGAGGGCUAUGUGGACUGUGGGUGUUUGUUCCUGCCUGGAGGGUCUUAAUGCAAUUCUUUUGACGCGAGCUAAUUCUUCUUGGAUUUCUGUUAUUCGGGAGAGAACCGUUUAAUUAAAUUCCUGUGAUUCAUUCGGGGUAAAUCCCUCUGGAUUGUCAUGCAUCUCCCUAGACCUCGCGAAUAAUUCAUUUGCGCGUGCUUCUUUUUGGGCUACUAAUUUUUCUCUUUCGCCUAAUUCUUUUUCUAUUGCUGAUAACGUCUCAAUUUUAUUUUGAGCUGUAAGAAUAUCCCUAGUUUUUAUUUCUAACUGGGCCUCUCUUUCGUCUAAUGACGUUUGCUUCUUUUUUAAUUGCUCCGCGAGCGUCAUGAGUUUUUCUUGAUCCAUGAUAGUUUCUUUUGAUUAAUGAAAUUAAAAAUGGAAAGAAAAAAAAGGAAAAAGGUGUAGCUAUCCCACCGCUGCCACCAUUUUGUUACGUCCUGUUUUAAUUUGAACGUGAGGGUGUCGCAGUUUUUCCUGGAGUCCAGUCAGGAAUUUCUGCGUUGACGGAGUGAAUCGCAAGGGAUGAAACUCUCGAAAGGGUGUCUGGGCUUGUUGGUGCUUGGCCACGUAUUCCGUGGUAAAAUAUCCCUGCGUCUGGGGAUGCUGUGUAGCCGGAGGUGCGGUUUUCUUAGUCGGCGGGUGCGAUACCGGGUGUUGGACCAACCGGAAGUUGCCCUGGCGGUCCUUGGUGACGCCAAUAUGUAUGAGAGCAGAGCUUGUCACCGUAGGUCUUGCUACAGUGGUACCCAAUAAGGCGUCUAGGUCCACUUCUCGUGGAGUAUGGUAGAUGGCUGCCAAUUUUCGGAGCUGGUACUUCCUUCCAGCGCGACGUGUCCUCUUCGGCAUUGGUCCAGUCCAAAGGAUAGUAGGGAUGAUUGUACCAGAGAGGAUACUCAUCGUUGCCGUCGGUCAUCCUGUGGGUAUCUCGUGUAGCAGUCGGUAACUCGACCGUGGGCACAACAAUCGGUAACCCGGCAGUGGA